rnacentral:rRNA from 1 species
UAAUACAGAGGUCUCGAGCGUUAGGCGGAAUCACUGGGCUUAAAGCGUGUGUAGGCGGAUCGGUAAGUACCUUGUGAAAUCCCACAGCUUAACUGUGGAACUGCUUGGUAUACUGCCAGUCUUGAGCCACUUAGGGGCUACCGGAACAAAUGGUGGAGCGGUGAAAUGCGUAGAUAUCAUUUGGAACGCCAAUGGUGAAAACAGGUAGCUGGGAGUGUGCUGACGCUGAGACACGAAAGCCAGGGGAGCAAACGGGAUUAGAUACCCCGGUAGUCCUGGCCGUAAACGAUGUCGACUAGAUCGCAGUUCCUUCAACGGUAUUGCGGUCGAAGCAAAAGUGCUAAGUCGACCGCCUGGGAAGUACGGUCGCAAGGCUA